rnacentral:rRNA from 1 species
AUACGGAGGGGGCUAGCGUUGUUCGGAAUUACUGGGCGUAAAGCGUACGUAGGCGGAUUGUUAAGUUAGAGGUGAAAUCCCGGGGCUCAACCCCGGAACUGCCUUUAAAACUGGCAAUCUAGAGUUAUGGAGAGGUAAGUGGAAUUCCUAGUGUAGAGGUGAAAUUCGUAGAUAUUAGGAGGAACACCAGAGGCGAAGGCGGCUUACUGGACAUAUACUGACGCUGAGGUACGAAAGUGUGGGGAGCGAACGGGAUUAGAUACCCCAGUAGUCC